CCGCUUUUCUAGUUCUCCCGGAAGUUCGUCUGCUGCACUGCAGUGCAUGAAAUAAAUUAAUCAAAUUAAUUACUUCCCGCUCAAAGUAUGUGUCUCUGUGCUGCCCUGCAAACUCAGCCCUGGUGCUGCCAACUCAGCAAUGUCAGCAUAGUUUAAUAUAUAACCUUCAGCGUUCAGCCAUCGAGUUGUUCGAUAAUAGUGAGUGAGUGAGUGAGUUUGCCGACCAAUACGUCCUAUAGUUUUGUUUUUCCAUUGCGAUCGUAUCCGUCCCCCCCCCCCCCCCACGGGUUUACAUAUGGUUGAUACAAAGUAUUCAAGUCAUUAAGUCAAGGAAAUGUUUGAAACAGCACAAGAUUAGCAGAUCAUAUUGGUGCAAGAAGUGAGAUAAAGGUUGCACACCUUCAUGGAUAUUCAAUGUCUUCAUGCGGAAUAGGAAGGAGGAAAUGUGAAAGGGUCGUGGCCGUCGUGCAUCCUACCGUCAACUAUUUUGUUCAAAAUCAUUUUUUUCUACUGAAUGUGCCAUCGAAAUGAUACAGGAGUCAUAAUUAUCUGCUGUUUGUAUUGAACUUGCUAGAUCACCAACCAACCCCAGCAUAGACCAAUCUCUCAUUUCAUCUUCUCAAGAGAAGAUUGGAUAACUGAUUGGAGGUUUCAUGUGUUCUAAACUCCAGGUUUCGAAAUUUGCAUGGCAGACUUAAAAGUCAUGUCCUUUCAAGAAAGUCAACAAGGUCCCUUGUUUACUAACCUGUUGGCUGCUACCCUUGAAUCUCCCUUUUUACUUUCUUUAGCGGGCCAUCUUUAUUUGAGGGUAAUCCUUCGCUACUAUGGACUUCAUCCACUGGUGAAAACCGACGAGAGAAUGCUGUAAUCCAAGACUGAUAAAUUGUGUAGUUAGAUUCAAUUGCAAGUGCAUACCUGGGCUCCCUUCUUUUCUGUGGCCCCGUUUCCCUAACUAAACCAACGCCCGCCGGUGGUCACUCACCCGCUGUGAAACCAGGAGG